AAUAGAUACCCCGGUAGUCCACGCCGUAAACGAUGAAUGCUAGGUGUAGGAGCGAUUAAGCUUCUGUGCCGGAGUUAACACAAUAAGCAUUCCACCUGGGGAGUACGGCCGCAAGGUUGAAACUCAAAGGAAUUGACGGGAGCCCGCACAAGCAGUGGAGUAUGUGGUUUAAUUCGACGCAACGCGAAGAACCUUACCAGAGCCUGACAUCCGCAGAACCCGGCUGUAAUGGCUGGGGUGCCCUUCGGGGAGCUGCGAGACAGGUGGUGCAUGGUUGUCGUCAGCUCGUGUCGUGAGAUGUUGGGUUAAGUCCCGCAACGAGCGCAACCCUUACGGUUAAUUGCUACGCAAGAGCACUUUAGCCGGACUGCCGUUGACAAAACGGAGGAAGGUGGGGAUGACGUCAAAUCAUCAUGCCCCUUACGCCCUGGGCUACACACGUACUACAAUGGCGCAAACAAAGGGAAGCGAAGCCGCGAGGCGGAGCCAAUCCCAAAAAAGGCGUCCCAGUUCAGACUGCAGGCUGCAACUCG
rnacentral:rRNA from 1 species